AAGAUUUAGUUAAUGUGACCAACUGUUUUUCUCAAUUAAUCAGGAGCAACCUGAAAAGUCAGCAAUUGAGAUCAGCCAGGAGGAGCCAACAAAUGAUGAUGAAGAAGAAGAAACCACUUCUAUCCCAAAUUCAGUGCCAUUUGUUGAGGAGCAACCUGAAAAGUCUGCAAUUGAGAUCAGCCAGGAGGAGCCAACAAAUGAUGAUGAAGAAGAAGAAACCACUUCUAUCCCAAAUUCAGUGCCAUUUGUUGAGGAGCAACCUGAGAUGUCUAGCUCUGAAAAAAUCCAGGAGAAUCCCUCAGAAAAUAUGGAAGGAAGCAUCAGUACCGAAAAUGUGGUGCCAUUUAUUGAGGUUUGGAUAAAAUAUCAUAAUACUUGGACCAGUCAAUUCAUUGUUUCAAAUAGAGGGUUGAACUGUUCUCAUUAAAUAUAUUUUUUUCUAUUAACAAGGAGGAACCUGAAGAAGAAAGCAAGCUUAAAAGCUUUUCUUUACAAUCUAUGGAACAAUUUAUGGAAUCUUCCCAGCAUGCCUGUCAGCCUGAGGUAAGCAGGAAACAACAAACUAAAUGAGCAACAAAGCUUCCAAUAUUGCAUGAACUAUGCAAAAUGUAUUCUAUCUUGUCUAUUAAAAUAAUAUAAAAUGUGUUUCUCCUCCAGGUCCAUAUCAAACAUGCAUUUGGAGAACUGUUCCCGGACCCUACUGACUGUUUUGAUCUCGGAAAAGUUAUUGGAACUGGCGGAUUUGGAGUAGUUCAUAAGGUCAGAUAAUAGUCUCUUGGACCUCUUUGGAUUCUUAAGACCGUAGCAUUAAUAUAAUGGCAUAUAUUGCGUAUAGUGUUUAUU